GACGAACGCUGGCGGCGUGCUUAACACAUGCAAGUCGAACGGUGACCCAGGGCUUGCCCUGGUGAUCAGUGGCGAACGGGUGAGUAACACGUGGGCAACCUGCCCCUGACUUCGGGAUAACUCCUCGAAAGAGGAGCUAAUACCGGAUACGACCACUUCGGACAUCCGAUGGUGGUGGAAAGUUUUUCGGUCAGGGAUGGGCCCGCGGCCUAUCAGCUAGUUGGUGGGGUAAUGGCCUACCAAGGCGACGACGGGUAGCCGGCCUGAGAGGGCGACCGGCCACACUGGGACUGAGACACGGCCCAGACUCCUACGGGAGGCAGCAGUGGGGAAUAUUGCGCAAUGGGCGAAAGCCUGACGCAGCGACGCCGCGUGAGGGAUGAAGGCCUUCGGUUGUAAACGUCUUCUAGCAGGGACGAAGCG
rnacentral:rRNA from 1 species